UAGGGAAUCUUCCGCAAUGGACGCAAGUCUGACGGAGCAACGCCGCGUGAGUGAAGAAGGAUUUCGGUUCGUAAAACUCUGUUGUUAGAGAAGAACAGCGCAUAGAGUAACUGUUAUGCGUGUGACGGUAUCUAACCAGAAAGCCACGGCUAACUACGUGCCAGCAGCCGCGGUAAUACGUAGGUGGCAAGCGUUGUCCGGAUUUAUUGGGCGUAAAGCGAGCGCAGGCGGUCAAUUAAGUCUGAUGUGAAAGCCCCCGGCUCAACCGGGGAGGGUCAUUGGAAACUGGUUGACUUAAGUGCAGAAGAGGAGAGUGGAAUUCCAUGUGUAGCGGUGAAAUGCGUAGAUAUAGGGAGGAACACCAGUGGCGAAGGCGACUCUCUGGUCUGUAACUGACGCUGAGGCUCGAAAGCGUGGGUAGCAAACAGG
rnacentral:rRNA from 1 species